rnacentral:ncRNA from 1 species
AUAAAGUUUUAAUUUAGUUUAAAAGAUUAAUUUAUAGGUUUUUUAUAUGUAAAUUUUUGUAUAUUAUUUUAAAUAAUAUUUAAGCAGUAAUUAGAUUUAAAAAUUAAGGAAAUUUUGAUUUAGGAAUUUAUAAGAGUAUUAACAAAAUUUGUGCCAGCAGUUGCGGUUAUACAAAUAAUACAAUUAAUUUUUAUUAGUAAAUAGUAAAUUAUUUUUAUUUAAUUUUAAUAUUAAUUUUUUUGGGUAGAAUUUAAUAAUUAAUUUAAAUUAUAUAAAGAUUUAUGAGUUAUGAAAAUUAAUAAUAGACUAGGAUUAGAUACCCUAUUAUUAUAAUAGUAAAUAUAAUUACUUAAUUAGUAUGAGUUAUGAUCUUUAAAGUUAAAAAUUUUGGCGGUAUUUUAGUCUAUUUAGAGGAACCUGUUUAGUAAUUGAUAGUCCACAAUAUAUUUUACUUGUUUAAAUAAUUUGUAUAUCGUCGUAAAUAAAUAUUUUAUAAGAAGAUAAAUAUUUAAAAUUUAUAAUUUUAAAAUAAGUCAGAUCAAGGUGCAGUUUAUAAAUAAGGUGUAAUGGGUUACAAUGAAGAUAUUUUUGAAUAAUUAAUUGAAAAUUAAUUUGAAAUUGGAUUUAAUAGUAAUAAAAUUUAAUUUAGUUUUAUGAUUUUGGCUCUAAAAUAUGUACAUAUUGCCCGUCGCUUUCAUUUAAAAUGAGAUAAGUCGUAACAAAGUAGAUGUACUGGAAAGUGUAUCUAGGGAGAC